CAGCAGCCACGGUAAUACGAAGGGGGCUAGCGUUGUUCGGAUUUACUGGGCGUAAAGGGCGCGUAGGCGGAUUUGUAAGUCAGGGGUGAAAUCCCAAGGCUCAACCUUGGAACUGCCUUUGAUACUGUGGAUCUUGAGUCCGGGAGAGGUGAGUGGAACUGCGGGUGUAGAGGUGAAAUUCGUAGAUAUUCGCAAGAACACCAGUGGCGAAGGCGGCUCACUGGCCCGGAACUGACGCUGAGGCGCGAAAGCGUGGGGAGCAAACAGGAUUAGAUACCCCAGUAGUCCCUGUCUCUUAUAC
rnacentral:rRNA from 1 species